GACAACAGUUGGAAACGACUGCUAAUACCGCAUAAUGUCUACGGACCAAAGGGGGCUUCGGCUCUCGCCUUUAGAUUGGCCCAAGUGGGAUUAGCUAGUUGGUGAGGUAAUGGCUCACCAAGGCGACGAUCCCUAGCUGGUUUGAGAGGAUGAUCAGCCACACUGGGACUGAGACACGGCCCAGACUCCUACGGGAGGCAGCAGUGGGGAAUAUUGCACAAUGGGCGCAAGCCUGAUGCAGCCAUGCCGCGUGUGUGAAGAAGGCCUUCGGGUUGUAAAGCACUUUCAGUCAGGAGGAAAGGUUAGUAGUUAAUACCUGCUAGCUGUGACGUUACUGACAGAAGAAGCACCGGCUAACUCCGUGCCAGCAGCCGCGGUAAUACGGAGGGUGCGAGCGUUAAUCGGAAUUACUGGGCGUAAAGCGUACGCAGGCGGUUUGUUAAGCGAGAUGUGAAAGCCCCGGGCUCAACCUGGGAACUGCAUUUCGAACUGGCAAACUAGAGUGUGAUAGAGGGUGGUAGAAUUUCAGGUGUAGCGGUGAAAUGCGUAGAGAUCUGAAGGAAUACCGAUGGCGAAGGCAGCCACCUGGGUCAACACUGACGCUCAUGUACGAAAGCGUGGGGAGCAAACGGGAUUAGAUACCCCGGUAGUCCACGCCGUAAA
rnacentral:rRNA from 1 species